GGCGAGAUAGCCAAGUGGUCUACGGCGCACGGUUCAGGUCCGUGUCUCUUCGGGGGCGUGGGUUCGAAUCCCACUCUCGUCA